rnacentral:misc_RNA from 1 species
GUCCCUAACCAUGGUUAGUCUCCCCUGUUUUUCUCCUCUUUUGCUUUUCUUUCGCACUUUUUAAGUUUAAUUCAUGUGUUACGCCUUUUAUUUACACUAAACACUCGAAAAAAUUUUUAAAUUUAGUUUUUCAUAAUUUUUUAAUUUUUAUUAUUUAAAAAAUGAAAAUUUACGAGAACAACCCUUCUCCAUGCAUUUAAUUGAUGAGUUGAAAA